GACCCAGAUUCACCGCUACCAGAUUUUAUCCUCUUUGGGCUUUCCCUUUUGGGCUUCCCCUCAAGGCUUUAAAACGUGUCUGCUAGGAGAAGGUUUCCACACC